AUUGAACGCUGGCGGCAGGCCUAACACAUGCAAGUCGAGCGAGCGGCGGACGGGUGAGUAAUGUAUGGGGACUGCCCGAUAGAGGGCGAUAACAACUGGAAACGGUAUCUAAUAACGCAUACUAUCGGAUAACCCAUAUGGUAGUAGCUAGUAGGUGGGGGAAUGGCUCACCUAGGCGACGAUCCCUAGCUGGUCUGAGAGGUUGAUCAGCCACACUGGGACUGAGACACGGCCCAGACUCCUACGGAGGCAGCAGUGGGGAAUAUUGCACAAUGGGCGAAAGCCUGAUGCAGCCAUGCCGCGUGUAUGAAGAAGGCCCUAGGGUGGUAAAGCACUUUCAGUCGGGAGGCGUUACCGACCGAAGAAGCACCGGCUAACUCCGUGCCAGCAGCCGCGGUAAUAC
rnacentral:rRNA from 1 species